rnacentral:lncRNA from 1 species
AGAAUAUAUUACAGGAACAAAAAGAGAAUACUGAAGUCUCAAAACAAUAGCUCAGUUGACCCUUGUAUGAGAAACUUGGAUGAGUGUGAGGUGUGCCGGGACGGAGGGGAGCUGUUCUGUUGCGACACUUGUUCAAGAGUCUUCCAUGAGGACUGCCACAUCCCACCUGUGGAAAGUGAGAAGACCCCGUGGAAUUGCAUCUUCUGCAGGAUGAAGGAGUCUCCGGGAAGCCAACAGUGUUGUCAGGAAUCUGAGGUCCUGGAGAGGCAGAUGUGUCCUGAGGAACAGUUGAAAUGUGAGUUCCUCCUCUUGAAAGUCUAUUGCUGUUCUGAGAGCUCCUUUUUUGCCAAGAUUCCAUACUAUUAUUAUGUAAGUAACAACAGCAACCCAUGAUUACAGGCUGCCAUGACAUUACCUGACCCUGAAAUGGGCCCUCGUGAGAUUUGUGAUCUUAAUCCCACGGGGCAAGAGCACACGCUGUCAUUAGUUGCCUUCACCUUGUUGUAUUUCUGCUGGAUUUUAUGGGAAUCCACAGAAGGUAGACACUGAACUAUGCUGGUAGCUUUUCCAUUGGUAUAUUUGUCACCAGAUUAGAGAGGCGUGUCAAGGCCUGAAGGAGCCCAUGUGGUUGGAUAAAAUCAAGAAAAGGCUGAAUGAGCACGGUUACCCCCAAGUGGAGGGGUUUGUACAAGACAUGCGCCUCAUCUUCCAGAACCACAGGGCCUCUUACAAGUAUAAGGAUUUUGGCCAAAUGGGACUUAGACUGGAGGCUGAAUUUGAGAAGGAUUUCAAGGAAGUGUUUGCUAUUCAGGAAACAAAUGGGAACAGUUGACUGGUUUAGUGGAUGCUGAAGGCCUUCAGGAAAUAUGCUACUGGUUGCCACUGACUUCAAACUGAGAGCACUUGGGAAAUAGCACAUGCAGGGAGAGGCUUUUCUCUGAGCCUCCCUCAUCUGCCCAAAAACAAAUCCUCAAAAGAAAUUUGAUCAUCAUGAAUCCCAUCCCCAAGAAUCUCAUCAACCAGGGAAGAGGAACUGAGAUCACAGGGAAGGAGAUUGGAGGUGAUACCAGCACAGACAGACUCUCACCUCUUCUCCUGAGGUCUGCUCCAGACAACAUUUAUUACUCACAAGACCUUUUUCCUCCGUUUUUUUUUUGAGAUGGAGUCUCACACAGUCACCCGGGAUUGGAAUGCAAUGGCGCGAUCUCAGCUCACUGCAACCUCUGCCUCCCGGAUUCAAGUGAUUCUCCUGUCUCAGCCUCCCAAGUAGCUGGGAUUACAGUGCCUGCCACCAUGCCCAGCUAAUUUUUUGCAUUUUUAGUAGAGACGGGGUUUCACUAUGUUGGCCAGGCUGGUCUCGAACUCCUGACCUCAUGAGCCGCCCGCCUUGGCCUCCCAAAGUGCUGGGACGUGACAGGAGUGAGCCACCACACCUGGCCACUCGCAAGACCUUUUAUCUGAAAACCAGCCAAG